UACGGGGGGGGCAAGCGUUGUUCGGAAUUACUGGGCGUAAAGGGCUCGUAGGUGGCCAACUAAGUCAGACGUGAAAUCCCCAGGCUCAACUUGGGAACUGCGUCUGAUACUGGAUGGCUUGAAUUCGGGAGAGGGAUGCAGAAUUCCAGGUGUAGCGGUGAAAUGCGUAGAUAUCUGGAGGAACACCGGUGGUGUAGACGGCUUUCUGGACAGUAACUGACGCUGAGACACGAAAGCGUGGGGAGCAAACAGG
rnacentral:rRNA from 1 species